AUGCAAGGCAUGGCGCUGGCUAUUGAGCAUGCUAAUGCUCCGGUGAUACUUCAAUCGGACUCUUCUGAAGCGUUGUUAUGCCUGUCUACAGAUGCUCUCCAGCGUUCAGCUUAUGGCCACUUAGUAUUGGAGAUCAAGUACUUAUCUGGUAAUAGGGAGUUUGUUCCUCAGAAACUUAGUCGUUCUCAGAAUAGAGUCGUUGAUCGUCUGGCAAACUAUAGCCGUACGGAGCGAGCUACCGUUGUCUGGCUACGCUCAGUUCCUCCUUGUAUCGAGGAUGUAUGGCCUCUCGACUGUAACUCUAUGAAUUUGCAAUAA
rnacentral:rRNA from 1 species